GAACUUAAGCAUAUCAAUAAGCGGAGGAAAAGAAACCAACAGGGAUUGCCUCAGUAACGGCGAGUGAAGCGGCAACAGCUCAAAUUUGAAAUCUGGCUCUUUUAGGGUCCGAGUUGUAAUUUGUAGAGGAUGCUUCGGCGUCGGCUCCGGUCUAAGUUCCUUGGAACAGGACGUCAUAGAGGGUGAGAAUCCCGUAUGUGAUCGGUUGCCCUUGCCAUGUGAAGCUCCUUCGACGAGUCGAGUUGUUUGGGAAUGCAGCUCUAAAUGGGAGGUAAAUUUCUUCUAAAGCUAAAUACUGGCCAGAGACCGAUAGCGCACAAGUAGAGUGAUCGAAAGAUGAAAAGCACUUUGGAAAGAGAGUCAAAAAGUACGUGAAAUUGUUGAAAGGGAAGCGCUUGCAACCAGACCUGCCUGCAGUUGCUCAUCCGGGCUUUUGCCCGGUGCACUCUUCUGCUGUCAGGCCAGCAUCAGUUCGGGCGGUCGGAUAAAGGCUUCGGGAAUGUAGCUCCUCUCGAGGAGUGUUAUAGCCCGUUGCGAAAUGCGGCCAGCCUGAACUGAGGUCCGCGCUUCGGCUAGGAUGCUGGCGUAAUGGUUGUAAGCGGCCCGUCUUGAAACACGGACCAAGGAGUCUAACAUCUGUGCGAGUGUUUGGGUGUCAAACCCGUACGCGUAAUGAAAGUGAACGGAGGCGGGAACCCCUCGGGGUGCACCGUCGACCGAUCCUGAUGUCUUCGGAUGGAUUUGAGUAAGAGCAUAGCUGUUGGGACCCGAAA
rnacentral:rRNA from 1 species